rnacentral:rRNA from 1 species
GAUGAACGCUGGCGGCGUGCCUAAUACAUGCAAGUCGAGCGAACAGACGAGAGUGCUUGCACUCUCUGACGUUAGCGGCGGACGGGUGUGUCACACGUGGGUAACCUACCUAUAAGACUGGGAUAACUUCGGGAAACCGGAGCUAAUACCGGAUAAUAUUUAGCUUCGCAUGAAGCAAUAGUGAAAGACGGUUCUGCUGUCACUUAUAGAUGGACACGCGGUGUAUUAGCUGGUUGGUGAGGUAACGGCUCACCAAGGCAACGAUACAUAGCCGACCUGAGAGAGUGAUCGGCCACACUGGGACUGAGACACGGCCCAGACUCCUACGGGAGGCAGCAGUAGGGAAUCUUCCGCAAUGGACGAAAGUCUGACGGAGCAAUGCCGCGUGAGUGAAGAAGGUUUUCGGAUCGUAAAACUCUGUUGUAAGGGAAGAACAAGUACGUUAGUAACUGAACGUACCUUGACGGUACCUGACCAGAAAGCCACGGCUAACUACGUG